CCAAAACAAUGGCCGAAAGGCCUUGCCCUAGGGGGGGAGACCCCCCGACGGUAAACCCUUUGUGAAAACCCUCCUGUUUGCCUCGGCGGCACCCUUUGAUUAGGGGUCAGCCCGCCGACGGCACCAAACAAAACUCUUUUGAAUUGAAGAAUCAGUCUGAAUCAAUGGUCGAAUGACUAUA
rnacentral:misc_RNA from 1 species